GAACAGGUCCUGCGCAACUUGGGGCAAGGGAUUGGGAUCCUGGUGACCAAGAUUCUGAAGGAGACCCACACAUCCUACUCCCUGCGUGAACCUUCUUAGCUAGCAACACUACCCACCGCUACUAGUAGAUAAAGCAACGAGAUAAAGCAAGAACCAGCAAGAACGUAAUGAACCAGCAAGUACUCACCUGAGGCGAUUCACUUCUUGAGAUGAGGGUGCACGAGCCGAGGAGGCAGCAACGAGCUUGUUCGCAUGGUCCCCGCCGUCCGACCUCGCACCAGUUGUCUCAACUGUACCAGUUGUCUCAACGAUUUGAGGAGGCCGUAGCGAGGGUGAAGGAGGCAGCGAGGGUGAAGAAGAGGAAAUCUGAAGAGGAGGCGGCGGCGGGUACAAGGGUGGAGAGGAGGCAAUAGCGGCUGCACGAGGGAGAUAAGGAGACGGCGAUGGGAACGCCGGUGCGCGCGACUGCGCGAGAGAGGAGACAUCAGGGGGCGGCAGGUGCGCGAGGUAGAAGGAGAGGAGGUAGUGGGCGACGGCGGGUUCACGAAGGAGACGAAGAGAAGCGCAGUCGAGUCGGGGAAAACCUACCUGACGUUACUAGGCCGGGGGCGAAAGCCCGCUCUUCC
rnacentral:lncRNA from 1 species